rnacentral:rRNA from 1 species
CCUACGGGUGGCAGCAGUAGGGAAUAUUGCGCAAUGGACGGAAGUCUGACGCAGCGACGCCGCGUGAGCGAUGAAGGUCUUCGGAUCGUAAAGCUCUGUCCUUGGGGAAGAAGGUCUUCGGACUUGACGGUACCCAAGAAGAAAGCCCCGGCUAACUACGUGCCAGCAGCCGCGGUAAUACGUAGGGGGCAAGCGUUAUCCGGAAUUACUGGGCGUAAAGGGUGCGUAGGCGGUUUAUCAAGUCAGGGGUGAAAGGCUACGGCUCAACCGUAGUGAGCCUCUGAAACUGGUGAACUUGAGUGUAGGAGAGGAAAGUGGAAUUCCCAGUGUAGCGGUGAAAUGCGUAGAUAUUGGGAGGAACACCAGUGGCGAAGGCGACUUUCUGGACUACAACUGACGCUGAGGCACGAAAGCGUGGGGAGCAAACAGGAUUAGAUACCCUGGUAGUCAC